rfam:TPA: Bos taurus chromosome 5, whole genome shotgun sequence.
UCCCCUAUGGCUCAGCUGGUAAAGAAUCCACCUGCAAUGUGGGAGAUCUGGGUUCAAUCCCUGGUUUGGGAG